CCUACGGGAGGCAGCAGUAGGGAAUAUUGCACAAUGGGGGAAACCCUGAUGCAGCGACGCCGCGUGAGUGAAGAAGUAAUUCGGUAUGUAAAGCUCUAUCAGCAGAGAAGAAAAUGACGGUACCUGAGUAAUAAGCCCCGGCUAGCUACGUGCCAGCAGCCGCGGGGAUACGUAGGGGGCAAGCGUUAUCCGGAUUUACUGGGUGUAAAGGGAGCGUAGACGGCAGGGCAAGUCUGGAGUGAAAGGCGGGGGCACAACCCCCGGAAUGCUCUGGAAACUGUACGGCUGGAGUGCAGGAGAGGUAAGUGGAAUUCCUAGUGUAGCGGUGAAAUGCGUAGAUAUGAGGAGGAACACCAGUGGCGAAGGCGGCUUACUGGACUGUAACUGACGCUGAGGCUCGAAAGCGUGGGGAGCAAACAGGAUUAGAUACCCUAGUAGUC
rnacentral:rRNA from 1 species